GACGAACGCUGGCGGCGUGCCUAAUACAUGCAAGUCGAGCGAAUUGAUGGGAGCUUGCUCCCUGAUAUUAGCGGCGGACGGGUGAGUAACACGUGGGUAACCUGCCUGUAAGAUUGGGAUAACUCCGGGAAACCGGAGCUAAUACCGGAUAACAUUUCGAACCGCAUGGUUUGAAAUUGAAAGAUGGUUUCGGCUAUCACUUACAGAUGGACCCGCGGCGCAUUAGCUAGUUGGUGAGGUAACGGCUCACCAAGGCAACGAUGCGUAGCCGACCUGAGAGGGUGAUCGGCCACACUGGGACUGAGACACGGCCCAGACUCCUACGAGAGGCAGCAGUAGGGAAUCUUCCGCAAUGGACGAAAGUCUGACGGAGCAACGCCGCGUGAACGAUGAAGGCCUUCGGGUCGUAAAGUUCUGUUGUUAGGGAAGAACAAGUACCACAGUAACUGCUGGCACCUUGACGGUACCUAACCAGAAAGCCACGGCUAACUACGUGCCAGCCGCCGCAGUAAUAC
rnacentral:rRNA from 1 species